AUGAACGCUGGCGGCGUGCCUAAUACAUGCAAGUCGAGCGAACGGACGAGAAGCUUGCUUCUCUGAUGUUAGCGGCGGACGGGUGAGUAACACGUGGAUAACCUACCUAUAAGACUGGGAUAACUUCGGGAAACCGGAGCUAAUACCGGAUAAUAUUUUGAACCGCAUGGUUCAAAAGUGAAAGACGGUCUUGCUGUCACUUAUAGAUGGAUCCGCGCUGCAUUAGCUAGUUGGUAAGGUAACGGCUUACCAAGGCAACGAUGCAUAGCCGACCUGAGAGGGUGAUCGGCCACACUGGAACUGAGACACGGUCCAGACUCCUACGGGAGGCAGCAGUAGGGAAUCUUCCGCAAUGGGCGAAAGCCUGACGGAGCAACGCCGCGUGAGUGAUGAAGGUCUUCGGAUCGUAAAACUCUGUUAUUAGGGAAGAACAUAUGUGUAAGUAACUGUGCACAUCUUGACGGUACCGAAUCAGAAAGCCACGGCUAACUACGU
rnacentral:rRNA from 1 species